GGCAGCCUUCUGGGGCAUGAUUGACGCUGAGGCCCGAAAAGUGCGGGUAUCGAACAGGAUUAGAUACCCUGGUAGUCCGCACGGUAAACGAUGGAUGCCCGCUGUUGGCGAUAUAUGGUCAGCGGCCAAGCGAAAGCGUUAAGCAUCCCACCUGGGGAGUACGCCGGCAACGGUGAAACUCAAAGGAAUUGACGGGGGCCCGCACAAGCGGAGGAACAUGUGGUUUAAUUCGAUGAUACGCGAGGAACCUUACCCGGGCUUGAACUGCCAGCGAACGAUUCAGAGAUGAUGAGGUCCUUCGGGACGCUGGUGGAGGUGCUGCAUGGUUGUCGUCAGCUCGUGCCGUGAGGUGUCGGCUUAAGUGCCAUAACGAGCGCAACCCUUUCUGGUAGUUGCCAUCAGGUAAUGCUGGGCACUCUGCCAGUACUGCCACCGUAAGGUGUGAGGAAGGUGGGGAUGACGUCAAAUCAGCACGGCCUGACGGGCGGUGUGUACAAACGUGUUACAAUUGUUGGUACAGAGAGUCGGGAGCAGGCAAUUGUGAUCUAAUCCUUAAAGCCAUCCUCAGUUCCGAUUCGCUCCCGACCGCCCCACGAAGCG
rnacentral:rRNA from 1 species